GAGCUACAUCUGCAGGUUUACACCACAGCCACAGCAAUGCCAGAUCCAAGUUGUGUCUAUGACUUACACCACAGUUCACAGCAACGCUGGGUCUUUAACCCACUGAGCAAGGGCUAGAUACUAGUCAGGUUCAUUUCUACUGAGCCACAACAGGAAUUCCAGGUAAUUUUUUAAAGAUUGUUUUUUCAAGCAGUUUUAGGUUCACAAGAAAACUGAGGGAAGAUAAUAAAGAUAUCCCUAACACAGUGCUCUGCCCCUAACCAUGUAUAUUCUUCCCUGGUUACCAACACCCUCAUCAGAGUGGUACAUUUGUUACAACUGAGUCUAUAUUGACACAUCAUAAUCACCCCAAGUCCACAGUUAACAUUACAGUUCACUUUUGCUGUUAUAUAUUCUAUUGAUAUAGGCUAAUGUAUCAUAGCAUGUAUUCAUCAUGAAGUAUCAGAGAGUCUUUUUGCUGCCCUACAAGUCCUCUGUGCUCUCACUUACCUGUCCCAUUCCCAACCCCUGGAAAUCAGUGAUCUUCUCACUAUCUCCAUAGUCUUGCCUUUUCCAGAAUGUCAUAUAGGUAGAAUCAUCCAGUACGUAGCUUACCCCGUGUAGUCAUUGAAAGCUCAUGGGAGAGAGUUGAUGGGAUACAAAGACUUGCUCUAUAUCUGGAGUCCUCAGGAUCCCAAUCCAUUAUCCACCCCAAAUGCAACUUUUAAAAGUUCAUUAAAAGUUUGUCUGGACUUUCCUCACCCCUGUGUUAGAUUCACUCUACCUCCCACUCCUCCACAAGUAUCAAGGCAUUUGUUAUACUCUCUACCCUUCUAAGAAGAACUUGUGUUUCCUGGAAUUUGAGUCAUUUAGGUUUCUUUGAAUUCCUCAAGUCUCUGAUGGGUCAAAAACAAAUCUCUGUUUUUGUAGAUGAUCUAACUUAUUCUCAUUGUUAGGAUGAGAGCAACAGUCUCUUGGGACUUCCUCCAUUCUAAACUGAAAGAAGAUUCUCUAAGGAGCUUAUAGUUUUAAAUGAAUAUAAUUCGGCCAUUUGUUACAAGAAUAAAGUAAGUGGUAGGAACAAAAUACAAAGGAUACUUGUAUUAAUUUAUUUUAAAUUAGUAAGAAAUACAGAACCUUAAACCACAGACUCAUGAGACUUGAAGCUAACUGCUUUAAUGAAUUAUUUGAUAAAUUAUUUGUAUAAUUUGCAAAAUAAUAAAUGAAGUUUAAUAAAUUACUUGCAUAAGUGCAACAUUUAGUCUUUGUAGGUGAAUUUGAAUCAGACUCAAGUAAAAUUAGAGUUGGUGAGACCUUACAGAUCAUGUAAUCACACAGAGACAGGAGAACCCUCGGUGUCCAUGAAAGUCUAUUUGGAGCCGACACGGGGUAUGCGUAGAAGUUCAGUCUUCUCUGGGUCCCUUUCCCCAAAUAUAAUUUUUCUUUUAAUAAUUUUCUGUAUAGAAUUCUGAGUUAUAUAACAGAGGUCUGAGCUUUUAAAAACUAUAAAACUAUGAAAAUUAUAACCAAAUUAUAACCAGUCAAUCUCCCCUACACACACUUCAAAAAACACAUAACACAUAUAAAUAUACACCCAUUUUCUUGUGAAGGAAACUGAUGUCCAGAGAUGUACUGUGACUCCUCUAAGACCAUACAGCUUCAGCUAAGGGCAGAAAUCACAGCAGAACCCUUCCAAAUACAGUCCAUUUUCUUCUCCACAUGUCCCUUCUCCUUGCUAAUUAGCCUGCCUGUACUAGACCAUUACAAGUCUCCUCCGUCCCGAUCGAUGCAGUGUAGAAGUGUGGAUGAGCAGACUUAGCUAAAUUGAUGAAUGAUUCCUAAGGCUUUGGAGACUGUUGUGUGACAUCGGUUGGACCCAGGUGAAAUGGUAAUCACCAGUGUAUAAAUGAUUUGGACACUGUAAUUUCCCCCUGUGAUUUAGUUUGCUUUCUUCUGUUGAUUUAUUUAGAAUGUGCUCUGCUACCUCUUCCAACCUUGCUACACAUUGAGCACCAAUAAACGUCAAACAGAUUAGACAGGCCCAUUACUCAAUGGGCACAUUUCUAAAAAUGGUACAAAGGUGAAAUCCCAGCAGUUUGAGAUGAUUGGAGUAUUUAUAGGAUGUUAGGAAAACAUCUGCUUCAAAGAUUCAGAGGUUCGAGAGUUGAUGUAAUGUUUUAUUAGGAGACUACACCACCACUAGUCACUGUACAGAAAAUAUUAAGCCAUUAUAGAGUGAAUGAGUUUUGAGUACCUAUUAUAUAGAAUGGGCUGUACAGAGAUUGGCCUUCUAAUAGCCACUUAGAGUGAAUACAUUUUGCUUUUAUCAAAAGGGAAGAGAAUGGGCUCAUUUUUAUAGCUCUGCUCAAAGAUAAAUGUGGGUAAAAAGAGGUACUUUUUUUUUUCUACACUGACCACUUAGGUUUGAGUAUAUAGCAUCCUUGCUCUGGUAUAAUGUCAUGAGUCUUAAGCAAACAAAAGGUGGCAACAAUUCACUAGAACUAAUCUCGAAUUUUUAUUUAUCUUUAUCAUUACUAUAGUGGCCAUUAAUAGAUCACCAAUUAUAGAGCCAAAUAUUGUGUAUAUCUCAUUCACCUUUAUAGGAAUCCUAAAAUAAAGGUAUGAUUAUUCUGCUUUUACGUGUGAGAAAACUGGGACUUAACAGAGGUUAAGUAAUUUCCUUAUGAUCACAUACUUAGUAAGUGGUAAAGCUGGAUUCUAACUCAAUCAGGUGAAUUCCAAAGUCUUUGCUUUUGCUGUUACUGUCAUCACUUGUGCAGAAAACAAUCAGCUUAAGGUCAAAAUAGCAACCACCAGGAUAGGUUGUUCCAGUUAUUUUAUAAUCACAAGAAGUUUACAGUCUCCUUCAAGGAACUGUCCAGAAUAAUGUUGGUGGUGACACACAAUUGCUAAUAGACUAGUUCUAGAAUCACACCUCUGCAAUCUCUCUUUCAUCAAGAUUUAAUUACAUCUCUGGUAUUUCUUUGUGAUGCUGUUCCCUUUCCCUAACUAAUGGGGUAGCUGGUGGAGAGCCUGCAGACAAUGUAGCAAUUUGCCUAAAGAGGGGGAAAGAUAGAAUGUGAGCUAGGCUUGGCAGGGGACAACCAGAAUUUCCAGUCUACAAUGCUAAAUUCAUCAUCUAGUUUUAUAUACAUACACAGAUGUACACAUGUGUGUAUAUGCACAUGCACAUACCAAAAAAGAAAUAAGGAAAGGAGGGAAGGAUGGCUUUCUUCCUUUUGCUUUGCGUUUCUGAGGAAAUAGCAGUUGGAGUAAUCAUUUAUUAAUCACAAAUUUUGGUGCUAUGUCUUUAGAACAGAAAAACAUCACUUGAUUUUCCAUGCAUAUUCUGCUAAUUGGUAGGUUUUGCCUCUCAACUAAACUGUAAAGGGAAAGGGUGCAUACUAAACCGAUUGCCCUACUUAGGCAGCUCCUGGCAGGAAUGCUGAGAUGGAUUAACAUGCAUAACAGAAGGCUUAUGUGACCCUGGGAGACAGUAGAACCUGAAAUAACCUUAAUAUCCUGUCAACUUUCAUUACCAGACCCCACUGAACAAGUAAAGCCUAUUUAACAAUCUGUCUGGGAAGGAAAAAUCCAUAUCUUGUUUUUUAACCAGGAUUUUUCAUCCUGUUCCUUUUUAUCCUGGGGAUAUUUUCUUCCACCUCACUUCUCAGAGCAACAUCACUGAACUAGACCAAGUUAUAUGGUGUCCUGAUUUCAUUAAAUUUCUCGGCGUGGAGUGCCACAGCCCUUGCUGCCACAGCCCUCACUUUACAAACAUGCCCUCAAAAGUCAGAAAUGCAGGAUCUGUAUUGAACAACUGGUAGUCCGGGGCCUAGCAGUGUGUUUGGGCAGAAAUAACUCCAUCUUGACAGUUGGCCAGGUUCAGUGCUAGGAAGCUGUUUGAGCUCAAGAAAGAGAGGAAGAAUGAGUCAACCUAAAGAGUCAAAAAGCAAGAAUAUCUUGAAUAAGCACCUGGGCUUUCUCAGAAACACACAAAUCCAGAUAUCUUGUCAAGUUGUCAACUGUAUUUGCUAAAGGCAUCUUGAGGUACCUCGGCAUGCCAAGUGUCGUAUGUUCCUCAAGGGAGGUGUUUAUGAGGAAAUUCUAAAAAUACCAGAGCACUAAAAUAAAUCCAAAAUAACUGCAUUCCUGUAGCUUUUUAACAGCACUUUCAAGAAAUAAACAAUUCUCUCAGGCUCAGUAAAUGCUUUCCCAAAUUUCCAAUUCAGAUGUCAUAUCCUGAGGUUCCAAAUUUCCUCCAUUCACAAGGCAUAGCUUAGCUAUGGAUUCAAUUCUGUCUCAUUAGAGGAACUGAUACCAUGCUUUUUAAAAAAAUCACUAGGCAGUAUACAGAGACCUGGAUUCUACAAAUUAGCAGAUGUGUGGCCUUGAGCAAGUCAUUUUCUCAUCUGAACCAUGAAAAGGAAGGGGAAGUAUUCAAACUUGAGUUAUUGAGCAUGCUGGGCACUUUGCUACCACUGUCUUAUGUAAAGUUUACACUAAAAAGUUUCCAAUACUUCUUCUAAUUAAUUGUCUAUUCUUAGUAAAUACUAAGUGCUUAAAAUGAUUUAGCAAAUGUCUGUUAGAGACUCUGUGGGCCAGGGAUAGUACUGCAAGAGUCAUUAAUAUCAAUUUGAGAAAUACUAAAGGAUUUUUACAGACUUUUUUUUCUUCCCCAUGGCAAACCAGGUCUCUAGGCUUUUUUUUUUUCCAAAAAACUCAGAAAAAAAUUUUUUUCUUUUUACGGUUACACCUACAGCAUAUGGAAGUUCCUGGGCCAGGAGUCAAAUCGAAGCUGCAGCUGCCUGCUUACAACACAACCCCAGCAACACCAGUUCCUUAACCCCCUCAGGUUAAGGGCCAGGGAUUGAACCUGAAUCCUCGCAUAGACAAUGUCUGGUCCUUAACCUGCUGAGCCACAGGAACUCCCAGAAAAAUGGUUUCUUAUGUAAUGUGUCAUUUUACUCCUUAAGGAAUUCAUCAAUUUCUCCCAGUGAGAUGUACUGUGACUUCACUUAUUUGAGCUCUAAUACCUUUUUUUGUAAAUUGUAAUCCAUAAAUUAGAUGUUGAAUUGAAAAGAAUAAUGAAUUGAAUUAGGGAACUGAGUUUGAGUUCUGGCUGUGGCACUAACUUGCUGGACAAUUUACUGUCUGUUUGGGUCUCAUUUUCCUGAUAUGAAGAAUUUGGGAUUGAUGAUUUAGCUUAUUCCUACGGCUUUAAAAGAGGUGGGGGUGGGUAUUUUGGAUAUGUUGGUUUAAAUGCCAUAUAUUAUUAAAAUUAAUCUCACCUCUUCUUACUUUUUAUUUUCAUGUGGUUAGUAGGAAAUUUAAAAUAACUCCUAAAAAAAAAUAAAAUAAAAUAAAAUAAAAUCACUCCUGUGGUUCACAUCUGUGGCUUGCAUUCAGUUUCUACUGGACAGUUCUGGCCUAAACCCUCUCAGUAACCCUCUUACUAAAAAGCCAUAAGCUUGUGAAGAGUUAAGUAGGUCAUCUUGUUCUGGUCUGAAUUUUAAAAGAGAAAAAAAGAAAAAGAGGAAAAUGAGGAAACAAGCUUUGUCCAUGAAGGGGACUGCCCUGCCACCUGACCAGGAAUCCACGGAGGAGUUCCACUUCUCCUCAAAGCCAGGGCCUUUGUUAUGCAGAUUUGAGUGAGAGCUAGCUCAAGAGAAGACCCCCUGACUUUACAUUAGAAGAAGCAGAUAGCUAGGGACAGAAGAAAAACAUGAGCCACUGGAAGGGAAAGGGCCUGGGAGGAAGGGUUUUAGGGGAGCUUCGAGGGGGAAGAAGAGGCUCUUUCCCUUCACUUUUCCAUCCUUUAUCUUUCAUUUCCUACUUCAUGCCCUCCUUUCUAUCUUGCAAUUCUAUUCUUGUUAGGCACAUUCACACAGAUAUCUCCUGAAAUUUUAGUGAGUCUAUGGAGGCUGAUAUGAUUACCCUCAUCUUACAACUGAGAAAACUGAAACUCAAAUAAGUUCUAUAACUGGCACAAGUGUUGAACAGCUAGCAUUACAGUGCAGCCAAGAUCUUAAUCCAUAUCCCUUGAUUUCAUUGGCUAUGUUUUUUCCACAAAGCCACAUCGCGUGGGUGUACUCAACUGUUCUUUCCUAAUUAACUUCUGGUACUUUUUUUUCUUUUUAUGGCCGCACCUGUGACACAUGGAAGUUACUGGGCUAGGGGUCGAAUUGAAGCUACAGCUGAGGCAAGGCCACAGCCCAGCAACAACAGAACUGAGCCACAUCUGUGACCUACACCACAGCUUGUGGCAACAUCAGAUCCUUAACCAACUGAGUGAGGCCAAGGAUCCAACCCACAUCAUCACGAACACUAUGUCAGGUUCUUAACCCAUUGAGCCACAAUGGGAACUCCCCGGUAUAUCUUAAAUUGAGCUAAUUCUUGAGUUGUUCUAUGAAGACAGUUUAGAGGUUAUCCUACUUCACUUUUUUAAACUGCUUCAUAAAAUAUGACAGGGCUAAUUCUCAAAACUGCUUUUUGCACUGCUAACUAAACACUGUCCAAAUAUUAAUCAGAUUUGAAUACUUAGGCUAAUAAUAUAAGUAGGCCUACAGAUCAUUUAAAUAGCUCAGCCAAACCUGAAAAAAAAAAAAAAAAAA
rnacentral:lncRNA from 1 species